rnacentral:rRNA from 1 species
GACAGAGGUGCCGAGCGUUAGGCGGAAUCACUGGGCUUAAAGCGUGUGUAGGUGGAUGCCUAAGUACCUUGUGAAAUCCCACGGCUUAACCGUGGAACUGCUUGGUAUACUGGGUGUCUUGAGCCAGCUAGGGGCUACCAGAACAAAUGGUGGAGCGGUGAAAUGCGUAGAUAUCAUUUGGAACGCCAAUGGUGAAAACAGGUAGCUGGGGCUGUGCUGACACUGAGACACGAAAGCCAGGGGAGCGAACGGG